rnacentral:lncRNA from 1 species
GCGUAUACCUAAGUAUAAUAAUUAUGGCUAAAUCAAAGGCUAACCAAGUGAAACCAAGACUUUACCAGGCUAAACCAAGUUUUCGCUUUGCAUAACCAGGGUUAGCUGAGCUAAGCCGCAGCAAUUUUUUUUACACACUUUUU